GGCGUACUAAAUUAUAAUCCUGGUACUUUUGAUAACUAUUUACACCACUGGGUCGAUGCCACUGCUGGUGGACGUUUCGUCCACGAGGGUAUCACCAGCCAAGUAGUCAGCACUUCGGUGUUGACAUGAAUAUCAAUUAUGUGGUCAUUUUUAUAAAUUUCCUGAUACAAAACUUUGAAUUUUUCGUAAAACUUAGGAUUUUCUUGUCCCAGAAAUAGAUUACCUUAGCCGUAUUUGGCACAACUUUUUGGAAUUUUGGAUCCUCAAUGCUCUUCAACUUUGUACUUGUUUGGCUUUAUAACUAUUUUGAUAUGAGAAUCACUGAUAAGACUUAUGUAGACGAAA
rnacentral:lncRNA from 1 species